rnacentral:rRNA from 1 species
CCUACGGGCGGCAGCAGUGAGGAAUAUUGGUCAAUGGGCGGAAGCCUGAACCAGCCAAGUAGCGUGCGGGAUGAAGGCCCUACGGGUCGUAAACCGCUUUUGCACGGGGAUAGCACCCUCCACUUGUGGAGGUCUGCAGGUACCGUGCGAAUAAGGGCCGGCUAAUUCCGUGCCAGCAGCCGCGGUAAUACGGAAGGCCCGAGCGUUAUCCGGAUUCAUUGGGCUUAAAGGGAGCGUAGGCGGGCGUUCAAGUCAGCUGUAAAAUCGCGCGGCUCAACCGCGCCCCGCAGUUGAAACUGGACGCAUUGAGUUCACAACAGGCAGGCGGAAUUCGUGGUGUAGCGGUGAAAUGCAUAGAUAUCACGAGGAACCCCGAUUGCGAAGGCAGCCUGCCGGGGUGCGACUGACGCUGAGGCUCGAAGGUGCGGGUAUCAAACAGGAUUAGAUACCCCAGUAGUC